GACUAAAUUAAGCUAAGCUCAGCUGCAUCAGACCCGUCUGUCCAGCAGGGGCCGCCCUUCGCUUGGUAUCCACUUUACGUUUACGUUUCGGUGGUAAGGGUGCAGCAAGUCCCCCGAUUGAUCAAAUCAUUUAUUGGCACAGCUCGCCAGCUCCAUGUGGAAGCAGUACCAGCAGUUGCACAUGCUGCCAGAUCAAGGUAACCGAAACAGGAAUUAACUAGUAGGACUGCUACUUCUGACCGAAUGGAAUAAGCGCAAACCAGUUUCUAAAGACGCGAGAUGCCAAAAGCUUUCUGAAGUCUUCAAUCAAAAAAAUCAAAGCUUGAACGUGGAGGGAAUACGUGUUCUCGUGGAAAGGUUCUUUACAGGGAUAUAAAGAAACCAGCUGUGGACGACUUCGAUGACUUCGGCAGAAUCGCGCAAAACUUUCUAUAAUCUUUUGGUUUCCUUCUUCCUCCACAUGGAGUGAUUCGCGUCUCCUCGGCGCGUUGGUUUGGAAAACAAGGUCUGAACGGAUUCUAUCGGGGAGCCUUUGGGAAAAGACUUCGGAACAGUUUGGAAUAUAAGUUCAACUCUAGAAUACCAGGUGGAAUGAAUGGAGGCUUUCUGGUGUUGGCCGGGGAGGGGCCGGACACAAGCACCACUGUCGGGCGAGCCGUUGAACUCUCUCUGUUGGAUCUAUUUCAGCCACACUAGAUACCCUCGUCAAUGGCUCCUCCUGAUAGUCUAUUGCAAAAUGAGUAAAUAUUUUCGUGGAAAGUUGUCUUCGUUUGUUUUGCUUUGACACGGUUCAGGACUUGAUUUCAGGUCUA
ensembl:lncRNA